rnacentral:rRNA from 1 species
GAUGAACGCUGGCGGCGUGCCUAAUACAUGCAAGUCGAGCGAACAGACGAGGAGCUUGCUCCUCUGACGUUAGCGGCGGACGGGUGAGUAACACGUGGAUAACCUACCUAUAAGACUGGGAUAACUUCGGGCAACCGGAGCUAAUACCGGAUAAUAUAUUGAAUCGCAUGGUUCAAUAGUGAAAGACGGUUUUGCUGUCUCUUAUAGAUGGAUCCGCGCCGCAUUAGCUAGUUGGUAAGGUAACGGCUUACCAAGGCAACGAUGCGUAGCCGCCCUGAGAUGGUGAUCGGGCACACGGGAAGUGAGACUCGGUCCAGACUCCGGCGGGGAGCAGCAGUAGGGAAUCUUCCGGAAUGGGCGAAUGCGUGACGGAGCAACGCGGCGUGAGUGAUGAAGGUCUUCGGAUCGUAGAACUCUGUUAGUAGGGAAGAAGAAAUGUGUAAGUAACAAUGCACGUCUUGACGGUACCUAAUCAGAAAGCCACGGCUAACUACGUG